rnacentral:rRNA from 1 species
UACGUAGGGUGCGAGCGUUGUCCGGAAUUACUGGGCGUAAAGCGUGCGCAGGCGGUUUUGUAAGUCUGUCGUGAAAUCCCCGGGCUCAACCUGGGAAUUGCGAUGGAGACUGCAAGGCUAGAAUCUGGCAGAGGGGGGUAGAAUUCCACGUGUGAGCAGUGAAAUGCGUAGAGAUGUGGAGGAACACCGAUGGCGAAGGCAGCCCCCUGGGUCAAGAUUGACGCUCAUGCACGAAAGGCGUGGGGAGCAAACGAGAUACGAAACCCGUGGUAGAUC